AACUUCCUGCCUUCGAAUGCUCUAGAUUAAAGUUGAUCAUGGCUCAGAUUGAACGCUGGCGGCAGGCCUAACACAUGCAAGUCGAACGGUAGCACAGAGAGCUUGCUCUCGGGUGACGAGUGGCGGACGGGUGAGUAAUGUCUGGGAAACUGCCUGAUGGAGGGGGAUAACUACUGGAAACGGUAGCUAAUACCGCAUAACGUCUUCGGACCAAAGUGGGGGACCUUCGGGCCNUCAUUGCCAUCAGAUGUGCCCAGAUGGGAUUAGCUAGUAGGUGGGGUAAUGGCUCACCUAGGCGACGAUCCCUAGCU
rnacentral:rRNA from 1 species